rnacentral:ncRNA from 2 species
AAAUGUCUAACGGGGUGCCCAAUGGCUGAGAGGUAAUCCGACCCGUAGAACCUGAUCCGGUUAACACCGGCGGAGGGAUUAGGCGCACGGUUUAG